GAGUCUCACUCUGUCAUCCAGGCUGGAGUGCAGUGGCACGAUCUUGGCUCACUGCAACCUCUGCCUCCUGGGUUCUAGAGAUUAUCAUGCCUCA
rnacentral:sRNA from 1 species